rnacentral:tRNA from 1 species
ACUAUUUUGACAGAAAUAAUGUAUUGAAAUUAGAAUUCAUUUAUAAAUAUAUAAUAUAUUUAAAUAGUA